ensembl:lncRNA
AAGAAGAAGAAGAAGAAGAAGAAGAAGAAGAAGAAGAAACAGAACUUCCAGUUAAUGUUUCCACAUUACAUUAUACAGUAUAACCUUGUAGCUUUAUGGCGGUCCCUCAUUAGCUGGGUUGUUGCUGUGUUUUUGCCAUUGUACAUUAAAAAAAUUCAACAAUGGAUUUGAACACAUCGGAUUAGAGAAGCUAAAACAGCAAAACAAUUCAUUCAAAUUGAUUCACUUUUAAAACCAACUGAAAGGAAAAUUAGGGACUCAUCUGAUCUUCUACACCCCCACCAGACACAGUGCACAGACACAGUGCACAGACACAGACACAGACACAGUGCACAGACACAGACACAGUGCACAGUGCACAGACACAGUACACAGACACAGUGCACAGACACAGUGCACAGUAGCACAGACACAGUACACAGACACAGUACACAGACACAGUGCACAGACACAGUACACAGACACAGUACACAGACACAGUGCACAGACACAGUACACAGACACAGUGCACAGACAGAUUGCAGAGUACACAGUGCACAGACACAGUGCACAGACACAGUGCACAGACAGAUUGCAGAGUACACAGUACACAGACACAGUGCACAGACACAGUGCACAGACACAAUACACAGACACAGUGCACAGACAGAUUGCAGAGUACACAGUGCACAGACACAGUGCACAGACACAAUGCACAGACACAGUGCACAGACACAGUACACAGACACAGACACAGUGCACAGACAGAUUGCACAGUACACAGUGCACAGUGCACAGACACAGUGCACAGACACAGACACAGUGCACAGACAGAUUGCACAGUACACAGUGCACAGACACAGUACACAGACACAGUACACAGACACAGUACACAGACACAGUGCACAGACACAGUGCACAGACACAAUGCACAGACACAGUGCACAGACACAGACACAGUGCACAGACACAGUACACAGUGCACAGACACAGACACAGUACACAGACACAGUGCACAGACAGAUUGCACAGUACACAAUGCACAGACACAGUGCACAGACACAAUAUACAGACAGAUUGCACAGUACACAGUGCACAGACACAAUAUACAGACACAGUGCACAGACACAAUACACAGACACAGUGCACAGACACAGACACAAUGCACAGACACAG